GUUCAUUUUAAAGCCUUUUUUUUAGUAAUUCGUAUGAGACUUUUAGACUGUAAAAGUGGGCGUGGUUUAGGGGUCCGUUAUAAAGACGCAUCGCCCUCCGACUCGGCCAUUUUCCCUGCAGCUCACACUGAGGUUUUGUGCAGUGGAUCCAGUUGAGGCCAAAAGCAUUGGAGGUGACGUGAAUGAAUUUUGCAAAGUUUGCUGCUUAAGCUGUUGUGUGUUCAUGCACGUUGUUCCUAGUUUAUUGUGCAGAGUGAGCAGAUGGAUCCGCACCAAACUUCCCUGGCAUAAAAUAACCAGCUAACACUAUUUCUCUAAUCAGCACGUUUGAAAGUGUGAAGUAUUAGUCAGGCAAACUCACUACCUUACUGAUUGAAUUUUAAGAGCAGAUUGAUUAUUAUAAAAUUAGGUGAAAAGUGCUUCCAAUCAUUGUGUUCUUGUUAGCAAUGGUCCGCAGAGAGAACCUCACAGACCUACUAAAAUUUUGCACAAAAUAUAAGGAUUGGUGCAAAGCUAUUUUUUCGGAAGCUUCCCUUCUGGCCGUUUGGGACAUCUGGAAAACUUGUUGUCCCGAGAAGAGCUGAAAAAUGUAAACUUUGAAAUGUACGUAAUGUGUGUCAUGGUUUGCCAGUGUUUUGUAGAAACAUGUAGAAAGUAUCUUCAAACACUGAAGCAGCAAACAUUGCAAAACAAUAUGCAUCACUUCCAAAGCUGACUCUGACUGUACAGCAGCUGAACAGCUUUUUUGGACUUCCUUGACAAAUGAAAGAUGUUUCUCAAACUUCUCAAUGGCCCAGUGUGCGUUGUGCCCAUAUUGACCCCAGCAUCCAUAUUUUUUUGAAAGACUUGCUGAUGCUGUGCAAGGUGAACACCUAUCUGUGAUCAUGGCUUCAACCAUUGAUGUUUUCCCCUGAAACACUGAGGGUGUUUUCAGAUUGGAGAUUCAUCGCUUUGAAUCUCUAAUCAGAGUUUCAUGCCAAAUUGUCCCAGGAGUUCUGUGCUCUGAUGGGUUUUAAAACAGAACUGGAUGAUCUACUGUGGUUUUCAGGGUUAUCCUGGCAGUUUCUUACACAGCUGAAGGUCUGGAUGAACUGGGCACCAUUUGAGAGGAAGCCUUUCCUUGAUCAGGAGGUAAUUAAGAUCCUGGAGUGCUGCCUUAGACACGGUCCUCUCUAAAUAGAACUGAGUAACUUGGUGCUGUGGAGGACAUGGACAUGAAGUUAUGCCUACAAAUGCUGUCAGAACUUAAUAAAGCUCUUGAGUGAA